AUAGGGGAGCCGGAGGGAAACCGAGUCUUAAUUGGGCGUUAAGUUGCAGGGUAUAGACCCGAAACCCGGUGAUCUAGCCAUGGGCAGGUUGAAGGUUGGGUAACACUAACUGGAGGACCGAACCGACUAAUGUUGAAAAAUUAGCGGAUGACCUGUGGCUGGGGGUGAAAGGCCAAUCAAACCGGGAGAUAGCUGGUUCUCCCCGAAAGCUAUUUAGGUAGCGCCUCGUGAAUUCAUCUCCGGGGGUAGAGCAC
rnacentral:rRNA from 1 species